AAGAUACUAGUAUAAUUAAAUACCCUGCCUUGUCAAGACAAAGCUGUAGGUUAGACCCCUG
rnacentral:tRNA from 1 species